GGAUGUGAGGGUGAUCUGGCUGCGACAUCUGUCACCCCAUUGAUCGCCAGGGUUGACUGGGCUGAUCUGGCUGGGUAGGCGGGUGUCUCCUUCCUCCCUCAUGGCUCAAUGUACGUCCCUUCUGAAGCUGCACGCUCUGUCUGAAAAGGACGGCCUUCCCCAAACAGAUACUGCCUGGUCUUCAGUCGAGGGUAUAGGUGUAGCUGUGCUCCCCUGCUAGAACCUCCAAACAAGCUCUCAAAGAAAGGUAGGAAAGAAAUCACUCAAAGGUCUUCUUU
ensembl:misc_RNA 7SK 7SK RNA